UACGAAGGACCCAAGCGUUAUCCGGAUUUAUUGGGUUUAAAGGGUGCGUAGGCGGGUUAUUAAGUCAGUGGUGAAAGCCUUCAGCUUAACUGAAGAAUUGCCAUUGAUACUGAUGAUCUUGAGUAUGAUUGAGGUUGGCGGAAUGUGUCAUGUAGCGGUGAAAUGCUUAGAUAUGACGCAGAACACCGAUUGCGAAGGCAGCUAACUAAGCCAUAACUGACGCUGAUGCACGAAAGCGUGGGGAGCAAACAGG
rnacentral:rRNA from 1 species